UCUCUGGAGUUUGAUCAAAGUCACAUCCAUGUAGUCAGUGAUGCUAUCUAACCAUCUCAUCCUCUGCUGCCCUCUUCAAAAGAAAAUAUUUCACAUCAAAACUCCAAAACACAGGGAUAACAAUCCCAAAAUGAAACAAAUAUUUUAAAAUUCUAUAAUUGUAUUAAUUUAAAACCUGGAGAAAUUUUGUGGACUGACUUUCCCCCCUGCCCCCAAUUUCAGCUAAAUAUUUUCUGGAGAGGUAGACUUCCCUCUGGCUAACAUAUACAACACUGAAGAAGCCAGGAUGGUUGGUGUUUUGGCAUCCUGUUGUACAUGUUAAAGAGCAAGAAUAAGAAUCAAAUACCUAAGCAAUACUGGAGAUUUCAUCAAGGGAAUGCCACGCUCCUCAUAAAGGGUACCUGAGCUUCUGAAAAGAAUCCUGCUAGACAACUGCUUCCAAAUUCUAUGGACCAAUCCAUCCUGCUUUCACUUCGGAGCAACUUACUGGGAAGAGCUGGGUGCCCUACAAAGAAGCCAGUCUUAUUACGUUAAAGAACUGGCAAAAUACACCUCACCCUCAGAGGCGCCUUGGGCUACCAGGCAUCUUACAUUUAGAGAAGGACAGUCCCACAGGCUGAAAAGUUAUCUCAGCUUUUUAAACUUCAGUCCAUGCUGACACCGUCCUCACAUUGGGACUUAACAAAUCUGGAUUUUAAGAGGAAAUUCAGAUGAACAAACAAUCGGGCCUCACACAGAGGGAAGGCCGUGUGGGGACACAGCAAGGAGGCGGCCACCCGCAAGCUGAGAACCGAGGCCUCAGAGGACACGGAACCUGCCGACACCCUGGUCUUGGACUCCCAGCCACCGGAGCUGGGACAAUGUAUGUCCCUUAUGCAAGCCGCCCUGUCUGUGGUAUUUUGGUAUGGCAGCGCCAGCGAGUCAAUAGGCUCUGUGAAGUCAGUCGGGUAUUCGUGAGCCCCUUCUCUCACCAGACAAGCCCCAAAUCUCACAAGUAGCUCUUGCCUCCAAAGGGAGGCCACCAAGUAGCUGAACAAAUCUGUUCACAUAAAUGGACUGCUUUGCUCUGGGAGAGCCUUGUCCCCAGGAAGAAGUAUCUCUACAUUUGCCUCCUACAUCAACUGGUUAAACAAAAGGUGAAGACUGAAGCGGCAGAGUGUAUACCUGCUCAAGCUACAAGCUGGUCUCUUAAGAAAAGGCUCACAGACUUCCCAGGAGAACAGGAGGCAUCUCCUGUUAACUCCACGCCCUUAAGAAGUAUGUUGGCCCAUCCCAGGAACACACAGCAUCCCCAUUCACCCACAAAGACUUGAAGGAACAGCAGCGUGGGGGACCCAGAGAGGACAUUCACCCAGGCUUAUAUUUCCAAAGGACUCCUCCACAUUUUAGCUUCUGAAAUUGGUUUCAUUAUAGUGAUGUUCAAACAUUUACUAACAGUCUAUUGCUCAAUUCAACAAUUAUUAUCAACGUGGUUUCAAUUCUCUCAUUUUGUUGUUCCAGAGUAUAUUUAAGAAAAUAUCAAACAUAACAUAAUUCAGUCUUUGGGUAUUACUUCCAAAUGAUUCUGCAUAUAGAGCCACCACUAAAGAGGGUACAAAAAAAUGUAAAAUGUCAACAAACAAUUCUAAACUGGGGUUCCAUUCCUGGGCCACCUGCCCAUAGCAGACUGUGAAUUAAUAUCCUCUCUAAAUUUAGAGAUUCCUGGUUUGUGACUACACUGCAUUCAGUGGGUUUUUGUGUGAACAAAUAAUUUCUUAAGUGUUAACAUUUAAAGGUUA